rnacentral:rRNA from 1 species
UACGGAGGAUGCAAGCGUUAUCCGGAUUCAUUGGGUUUAAAGGGUGUGUAGGCGGGUUUGUAAGUCAGUGGUGAAAUCUUGCCGCUUAACGGUAAAAUUGCCAUUGAUACUGCAGAUCUUGAAUAUGGAUGAGGUAGGCGGAAUGUGUAGUGUAGCGGUGAAAUGCAUAGAUAUUACACAGAACACCGAUUGCGAAGGCAGCUUACUAAACCAUUAUUGACGCUGAUGCACGAAAGCGUGGGGAUCAAACAGG